rnacentral:misc_RNA from 1 species
AAGUCGUAACAAGGUUUCCGUAGGUGAACCUGCGGAAGGAUCAUUAACACAAGUAAAAAAAACAUUUUACAACACCCUAUUAUGAAUUUAAAUUUUUUAAUUUUAAUUUAAUUUUUUUAUAAAACUACAAAAAAAAUAUUUAAUUUAUUUGACUAACAUUUUUUUAAUUAAUUUAUUUAAAAUUUUAUAAAACAACUCUUAACAACGGAUAUCUUGGCUCUC